AUUGAACGCUGGCGGCAGGCCUAACACAUGCAAGUCGAGCGAGCGGCGGACGGGUGAGUAAUGUCUGGGAAACUGCCUGAUGGAGGGGGAUAACUACUGGAAACGGUAGCUAAUACCGCAUACCAUCCGGUGUGCCCAGAUGGGGUUAGCUAGUGGGGGGGGUAACGGCUCACAUAGGCGACGAUCCCUAGCUGGUCUGAGAGGAUGACCAGCCACACGGGAACUGAGAAACGGUCCAGACUCCUACGGGAGGCAGCAGUGGGGAAUAUUGCACAAUGGGGGCAAUCCUGAUGCAGCCAUGCCGCGGGUGUGAAGAAGGCCUGCGGGUUGUAAAGCACUUUCAGCGGGGAGGCGUUACCCGCAGAAGAAGCACCGGCUAACUCCGUGCCAGCAGCCGCGGUAAUUC
rnacentral:rRNA from 1 species